rnacentral:rRNA from 1 species
GAUGAACGCUAGCGGCAGGCUUAAUACAUGCAAGUCGAGGGACAGCACAGGUAGCAAUACUGGGUGGUAACCGGCAAACGGGUGCGGAACACGUACACAACCUUCCUUUAAGUGGGGGAUAGCCCAGAGAAAUUUGGAUUAAUACCCCGUAAUAUAGUUGAAUGGCAUCAUUUGAUUAUUAUAGCUACGGCGCUUAAUGAUGGGUGUGCGGCUGAUUAGAUAGUUGGCGGGGUAACGGCCCACCAAGUCUACGAUCAGUAGCUGAUGUGAGAGCAUGAUCAGCCACACGGGCACUGGGACACGGGCCCGACUCCUACAGGAGGCAGCAGUAAGGAAUAUUGGUCAAUGAACGCAAGUUUGAACCAGCCAUGCCGCGUGAAGGAUUAAGGUCCUCUGGAUUGUAAACUUCUUUUAUUUGGGACGAAAAAGGGCCUUUCUAGGUCAACUGACGGUACCAGAUGAAUAAGCACCGGCUAACUCCGUGCCAGCAGCCGCAGUAACAC